GAAAAUUUAUGUCACAAAAAGAGUCACAGUGUAAAUGAGGGGAGAUAAACAAAUCAAGUGGAACUAACCGACUAAAGCCGAAUAAGCCCGAAUAGAACCGAACGGACUUCGAGCAUGUUCGCUUCUGGACGCGAGCCUCAUUCGUCGCGCCUCCUUGGUUGAGUGUAGUGAAGUAAUAUCGUUGUGUGGUGUUCUUUUAUUUAUUCGACAAAUACGCAUAAAUUAGCAUUCCCGCGUUGUGCUAGCAUUGGUAGUAGGAGUAUAAUAUCUUUAUCUUUCAAUUUGUUUUGAAAACAAUUUUCUAAAAAAUGGCGGUUGCGAGCGAUGCUCUAUAUAACGCGAGGAUGGCAUCUUACGUAUCGUCUAGCGCGUAUUACGGUUACGUACCUCUCUGUACAAGAGAAAAUAUGUUCGAUCAUAUCAACGAGUGUAAUAGCGACAGCAGUGCACCUAGUAUCGCGAGUAACCAUUUUGGUUCAGCUAUGGAAACGGAUGAUGAUGGAUAUGACUAUUCUGCGGCGUCAUGCCGUCUGAAUAACCAUUACGUGAUUCCAGAGGCGUCGUUGAGGAGGUGGCACGAGGUCGACAAUAGACAGCAAUACCACUGUUUAUCACCGACGGAGCAACAACAGGCGGUCCAUGGCGCCGACACGACGCGACGCAGGAACCGGAAACGAUCCAAUAACGAUAGUGGUUCAACGAUAGAAUUGAAAAAAUGUCGUAAAGGCAGCUGCGUUUACUAUGGUACAGGGAGUGCAAAGAACUAUGGAUUGGCCACAAUGCAUUAUGAGUCAACGUCAUUAUGCUUAAAUUCCAUCAACGAUAAAACCUUGGAUCAUUCCUUGGUUAUGACUGAAAGCUGCUGCAGGGCAGCAGAAGAUUCAGAUCUUGAUUGAUCAGCUUCUGCUAAGUCUUCAUUGCAACCUGGUUUAAGAGCAGAUGCUGAGGCAGGAGCAUUGUCGUUGUCAGGAGAACUUGAUGUCUAAACAUUGUGAAUAAGUAUUUCUAAGCGAUCUAUUAAUGGAACUUGUGCCAUAGGAGAUGAUGAAGAACCAGCAUGAGUUGAUGCAACUAAUUCAUUUAAUGAACACUGAUUUUCCAAGUUAAAGCCUAGUAUAGCACCCACGUCUGAAUCUUCGUCACUUGAUCGACAACUAUCACUCCCUGUUUGAUCAGCUGCUUCAUUCUGUUUAGAUAUAUUAAUUAAUUAAUUUUGAGUAAAUCUCGAUUAAUUUAACUCUUUCCCAUCGUAAUAGUUGUAGGUAUAGAUAUCCUUUAGUUUCGAAUUAUUUUCAUUCAGACAACGAGUGACGUACGUUCAAUUAAUUAUAACUUGGAAACCUUAAUCUAUAGGAUUGUUUGGCUUAUUGCUAAGAACUUUAAUCUGAGACUCAUCUUUUAUUUAUAUUAUACUUGGAAUACUCAAUUUCAACAGGAAAGAGUUAAUCUUGAAUCAAAUAAAAAAUAUAGAUAUUAAAAAAAAA